UAGACGCAGAGAACUGAAACAUCUUAGUACCUGCAGGAAGAGAAAGAAAAUUCGAUUCCCUGAGUAGCGGCGAGCGAAACGGGAAAAGCCCAAACCAACAAGCUUGCUUGUUGGGGUUGUAGGACUCCAAUAUGGUAGUCUGUUAGUAUAGUUGAAGGAUUUGGAAAAUUCCGCUAAAGAGGGUGAAAGCCCCGUAGACGAAAUGCUAACAACACCUAGGAGGAUCCUGAGUACGGCGGAACACGAGAAAUUCCGUCGGAAUCCGCGGGGACCAUCCCGCAAGGCUAAAUACUCCCUAGUGACCGAUAGUGAACCAGUACCGUGAGGGAAAGGUGAAAAGCACCCCGGAAGGGGAGUGAAAUAGAUCCUGAAACCGUGUGCCUACAACAAGUCAAAGCUCGUUAAUGAGUGAUGGCGUGCCUUUUGUAGAAUGAACCGGCGAGUUACGAUUGCAUGCGAGGUUAAGUCGAAGAGACGGAGCCGCAGCGAAAGCGAGUCUGAAUAGGGCGAAUGAGUAUGUAGUCGUAGACCCGAAACCAUGUGAUCUACCCAUGUCCAGGUUGAAGGUGCGGUAAAACGCACUGGAGGACCGAACCCACGUACGUUGAAAAGUGCGGGGAUGAGGUGUGGGUAGCGGAGAAAUUCCAAACGAACUUGGAGAUAGCUGGUUCUCUCCGAAAUAGCUUUAGGGCUAGCCUCGGAAUUGAGAAUGAUGGAGGUAGAGCACUGUUUGGACUAGGGGCCCAUCUCGGGUUACCGAAUUCAGAUAAACUCCGAAUGCCAUUCAUUUAUAUCCGGGAGUCAGACUGCGAGUGAUAAGAUCCGUAGUCGAAAGGGAAACAGCCCAGACCACCAGCUAAGGUCCCAAAAUAUAUGUUAAGUGGAAAAGGAUGUGGGGUUGCACAGACAACUAGGAUGUUGGCUUAGAAGCAGCCACCAUUUAAAGAGUGCGUAAUAGCUCACUAGUCGAGUGACCCUGCGCCGAAAAUGUACCGGGGCUAAACAUAUUACCGAAGCUGUGGACUACACCAUUAGGUGUAGUGGUAGGAGAGCGUUCUAAGGGCGUUGAAGGUCGAUCGUGAGGACGGCUGGAGCGCUUAGAAGUGAGAAUGCCGGUAUGAGUAGCGAAAGACAGGUGAGAAUCCUGUCCACCGUAUGACUAAGGUUUCCUGGGGAAGGCUCGUCCGCCCAGGGUUAGUCGGGACCUAAGCCGAGGCCGAUAGGCGUAGGCGAUGGACAACAGGUUGAUAUUCCUGUACCAGUUGUUUUUGUUUGAGCAAUGGAGGGACGCAGUAGGCUAAGGAAUGCAUGCGAUUGGAAGUGCAUGUCCAAGCAAUGAGUCUUGAGUAGAGUUAAAUGCUUUACUCUCUAAGGACAAGUUGUGACGGGGAGCGAAAUAAUAGUAGCGAAGUUCCUGAUGUCACACUGCCAAGAAAAGCUUCUAGUGAGAAAACAACUGCCCGUACCGUAAACCGACACAGGUAGUCGAGGAGAGUAUCCUAAGGUGAGCGAGCGAACUCUC
rnacentral:rRNA from 1 species